UGGGGAAUAUUGCACAAUGGGCACAAGCCUGAUGCAGCCAUGCCGCGUGUGUGAAGAAGGCCUUCGGGUUGUAAAGCACUUUCAGCGGGGAGGAAGGCGAUAAGGUUAAUAACCUUGUCGAUUGACGUUACCCGCAGAAGAAGCACCGGCUAACUCCGUGCCAGCAGCCGCGGUAAUACGGAGGGUGCAAGCGUUAAUCGGAAUUACUGGGCGUAAAGCGCACGCAGGCGGUUUGUUAAGUCAGAUGUGAAAUCCUCGGGCUCAACCUGGGAACUGCAUCUGAUACUGGCAAGCUUGAGUCUCGUAGAGGGGGGUAGAAUUCCAGGUGUAGCGGUGAAAUGCGUAGAGAUCUGGAGGAAUACCGGUGGCGAAGGCGGCCCCCUGGACGAAGACUGACGCUCAGGUGCGAAAGCGUGGGGAGCAAACAGG
rnacentral:rRNA from 1 species